ACAUGCUUCGUCAUUCCUGUCGUCCCGUCAAACUUCUCGGGAUGUGCAUAGGGCAUCCAGCCCGUUUUGCUUGCUUUUGUCGCAUCUAA